UAGCUCCUAGCUCAGUAGUAGAACGUUGGACUCGUAAUCCAAGGGACUGGGGUUCGACUCCCGAUAGCUAG
rnacentral:tRNA from 1 species